rnacentral:rRNA from 1 species
CCUACGGGUGGCAGCAGUGGGGAAUAUUGCGCAAUGGGCGAAAGCCGGACGCAGCGACGCCGCGUGAGGGAUGAAGGUCGUCGGAGAGGAAACCUCUGUCAGCAGGGAAGAACGGUCACUGUGCUAAGCAGCAGUGAAUGGACGGUACCUGCAAAGGAAGCACAGGCUAACUCCGUGCCAGCAGCCGCGGUAAUACGGAGGGUGCGAGCGUUAAUCGGAAUUACUGGGCGUAAAGCGCUCGUAGGCGGUAUGUCAAGUCAAGGGUGAAAUCCCCGCGCUCAACGUGGGAACUGCCUUUGAAACUGGCAAACUGUAGUGUGUGAGAGGCUAGUGGACUUCCAGGUGUAGGCGU